rnacentral:lncRNA from 1 species
GGUAUCCUUAUAGUCACUCCAGCCAGCCUGCUCCAUGCCCCACAAGGUUAAUCUACACUUGUGCAGAAAAAGAAGAAAUAGCCAUUUUGCUCGCAGGACUGGGCAGUCAGAGAAACCGGAAGUUCCACAAUCUGCAGGUUUACAAAGAAACUUUCUCCUCCAGUUGGUGAAAGAUAAAAGAAAGAGCGCGUUGAGCCACAAAAGCCUACAGCUUUGGGUCCAGAAACUCCGUGGCCUAUGUGGCCUCUCUGCCCUUUGUUAAAUCCCUGAUUGGACAGACGUGUCGAAGAGCCCAUACUUUGCAAGAGCAGCUCCACCCAUCCCCAAGAGGCAAAAAUAAUGGCAGCUGAAGUUAAUAAUUCUGUACACAGAACUCAAGUACAUUGUUUAGAAUCUCAAAAGCAUACCUACGUGCCAAAACGUUGAGACAAAUACCAAAGCUUAGCUGCCUGGCUUUACCCUUUUACCCUCCUGCAGGCGUCCUGCUAAGGAGACCGGCAGUGUACCUGCCAGGAUUCCAUCCUAAACCACACCGGGCCAAACCAAGAUGACACGAGGGUCUAAGUACACCAGACGAGGUUCUUCCAAACUCCCUGACUGAUAGCAGAAUUCACACACCUGCACUUUUAGGGCCGAGGUCCUCAGCUCCAGAGCCCAGAUACCAGUUCCUGACAUGUGACCUCUCUAGAGGAGAACCAAUCAGAGAGAAGCUCUACCGCUUUGUCUGUCGGAUCCAGUCAACCUUGAUCUCUAGACUCUUUGAAAGGGCUCACCCGAUAAGGUGAUGCUUCAAGACUCAAGGACAACUCCUCUUUAACUUCAAGUCAACUGCUUAGACACAAUUUCCUCUGAGAGAAUCCUUUUCCAUAUAAGCUAGACGUGGAUGUCCAUUGCUGGACUGAUUCCACAAAAAGAAGGUCUUAGACUGGUAUGUCCAAGUCAGAAGGGGAGCCUGGGAGAUUUAAGAACGUAUAAGGAGCUUGAGGGUCUUGCUCCAAUGAGUGAAAUGAGGAAAGGGGAGAGGUGGGGGUAAAGGCCCUUUCUGUGAAUUUGGUUUCGAAACCACAAACAAAUGUUAUCUUGAUAUCAUGUCAAUCAACAAGAAAAAGCAGUAAGUAAAAAGAUGGAGAUAUAUUCAAUGGAAAGAAUCCAGAACUGAUCUGCUCCUGUAAACAAAUCCUUCCUAAGUAAAAAGUCUUUUAAUUUCUGAUGCAUAUUUUCAUAAACAGUAAAAUAUUCAAAGUGAAAG